UACAUUCGUCUGGGGUGCCAGUUAUGGCUGAGAUUAUACCCAUCGAACCUGAUGUAGUUUGUACUGCCGAAGGAAGAACGAGCUGGGAUAUAU
rnacentral:ncRNA from 2 species